GUCAUAUCACGUUGAUUCACCGGUUCCCGUACGAUCCCCGAAGUUAAGCAACGCCGAGCCGGGUCAUUACCAAGAUGGGUGACCAGUUGACAAUAGCAGGUACUGUUA